rnacentral:SRP_RNA from 1 species
AUUGGGGAAGUUGAUAAGAAGUAUGAUAUUUAAUUUGUCAGGUCCGAAAGGAAGCAGCAAGGAUAUCAAUAUUUUUGUAUGAACUUCCCUGUUUUG